rnacentral:rRNA from 1 species
UACGUAGGGAGCAAGCGUUGUCCGGAAUCAUUGGGCGUAAAGCGCGCGUAGGUGGCCACAUAAGUCCGUUGUGAAAGUCAAAGGCUCAACCUUUGAAAGCCGAUGGAUACUGUGUGGCUAGAGUACGGAAGAGGCGAGUGGAAUUCCUGGUGUAGCGGUGAAAUGCGUAGAUAUCUGGAGGAACACCGGUGGCGAAGGCGGCAUCCUGGACCAAUAUUGACGCUGAGGAGCGAAAGCCAGGGGAGCAAACGGG